AUUUAAAUAGUUUAAUUAAAAAUUUUGAUUUGUGGAGUCAAAGAUGUAUUUUACUUUAAAUA
rnacentral:tRNA from 1 species